rnacentral:miRNA from 1 species
GAGCUUAGGUUAUACAGAGGCUGAUCCUUGGAUUUUUCCGGGCCUCAGGACUUCCUUUCAGACAUGG